CCACAAUUAACAAGACUACUACAAUCUAAUCCUUACUCCAUUACAAUAUGACCCCAUUAUUUAACUACUACUUCCUAGUGAUCCAAGGAUCCACUAAUAGGCCAAAUGCAAGAUCAUAAGAAAACAGUUAUUCCUUAAUUUAAAAUUUUUAAUUUUGUGCGGGCGCGAGGGCGAUGCGUAGUUCUACAAGGUCAUUGAUGUACACACAACUAAAGAAAUUUCAGCAAGAAACUCCUCCCCUGUUCUCUCACUCACCUCUCAGCUCUGUCUCUCUCACUCCUGAGGAACAUGCUGUUGGAUUCUGUUUGCUGUCUGAAAUUUUUAAUUUUUUUAUUCGAGUUUGCUGGAUUAUCUUCGAUUCAAAUGGGGCGGGUUUUUCAGUUUGUAUUUUUUUUAUUAAUUUGGAUUUCUGGUUCUUUUUUUUUUUUUUUGUCUGAUUCUGGGUUUUCAUUUUUUGUUGGUACAGUUUCUGCGCAAUGAAAGAUUUCUGCAUUCUUUUGAUUUCUGGACCUGCAUCAAGCUUCUGCCUUUCUAUUGUGAUGAAAUACUGAUGGAAAUUAGUCUCUUGCCAAGGCUCACAAGGCAAUGAAGUGCCCCUGCAAAGCCGACUUAGCAAGUGGACUUCAGUUUUCAGAGGCUUUUCUCUGUUAUCUCUAUGGAAUGGUUUUCAAUUCUGCAAAACUACAACUGGAUGCACACAAGGGAUUAUUCCAGUUCUGCAUAAAAUUCUACCAUUGUGUUGUAAAGGAUGCCACAUCUUGCAACGACUUCUGCUGCAGUUAAUGCACUUUAACCCUCGGUGGUGAUGAGGCGUUUUCAUCAAUUAAUAGGUGGUCUGUUUCAGCUGAAAGCUCAGAUGAGAGUAGCGAUGAUUCAAAAGAUGAUGAUGAAACCCCUGCAAAGGUUACUGCCCAAAAAGCUUGCUCAACUGCAAAGAAAGGCCCAUCAGUCGCUGUUAAGAAGGCAGACACUAGUAGCUCUGGAUCUGAAGAGAGCUCUGAAUCUCAAGAUGAGGUGUGUGCUCAUGCUUAAAUAUUUGUAUCAUCUGAAGGAAUUGCACUAUUGGAUGAACCAUUUUAAUUUGGGAUUUUAGUAAUUAGUUUUAAUCCUAAUCUUUCCGAGCAUGUUUAAGAAGUUGUGAAAAAAAGUAGAAAGGAUGUUAUGUUUUAAGCUCCUUUGAUAAUUGUUCAGAGGAGAAUUCUGGUUAUAGUUCAGAGGAAGUGAAGGUUUAUGUUUAUUUAUUUUUUAAUUCCAAUUGGAAUGUGUUGCAAUAAUAUCAUAGUCUUUGUGAGAUCAAA